UGGGGGAUUUUGCACAAUGGGCGCAAGCCUGAUGCAGCGACGCCGCGUGAGGGAUGAAGGCCUUCGGGUUGUAAACCUCUUUCGCUGGGUUGAAAGGCCAUGCUUUGGGUGUGGUUGAUUUGAACUGGUAAAGAAGUACCGGCUAACUACGUGCCAGCAGCCGCGGUAAUACGUAGGGUACUAGCGUUGUCCGGAUUUAUUGGGCGUAAAGGGCUUGUAGGUGGUUUGUAGCGUCUGUCGUGAAAUCCUGUGGCUUAACCAUGGGCUUGCGGUGGGUACGGGCAGGCUUGAGGGCGGUAGGGGAGACUGGAAUUCCUGGUGUAGCGGUGGAAUGCGCAGAUAUCAGGAGGAACACCGGUGGCGAAGGCGGGUCUCUGGGCCGUUACUGACACUGAGGAGCGAAAGCGUGGGGAGCGAACAGG
rnacentral:rRNA from 1 species